AUUUUUACAAUCUAGAAGUUUGGAAUAAAAUGUUCUAGGUAGUUCUUUCCAAUCAGCUUUGCAUGCAUGAAAACUCAGUGUCUGAUUUCUGUAGUUAUCCUGUGUUCUGUUAAACAAACAAACAAACAAAAAAAAAAACCAGUUAAAACUAAAAUGUGAUCUGGGUUGUGCGGAUUUUGGGAGAAUACUAGCUCCCCUGACUUUUCGUACACCUGGGAGCAUUGCUAUGUUUAAUAGACAGUGGUAUCUGUUAGUGAUUUAAAUGCUUGAGAAUGGUUGUUUGGUUCAGGUCAGCAAUGUGCCUAGGCCAGCCCUCCUGUCACAGGGGCUACUGGGCAGGUGCUUCGCUGUGGCACAAGCAGAAAAAGGACAUAGUAUUUCCUCCAAUCAUACUUUCCUGUUCUCUGCAUCCAAAAAUGUUCUCUACUCCAGCUUUACCUGAUUCUGCAUGAAGAACCAGUUCCUAAUACUUGUUCUGAAGCUGGCCUGCCUCAGCUGUAUUUUUUCUCCUCGAGCUCUUGUACCAGAAGGUCUGAGAAAUACUCAGUUUUCAUAUGUGCUCCCAAUGCUUUGCUCCCCUCACCAUUCCCCAGGCUGGAGAAGCAAGGCCUAUUAUAACUCUGUGUGUAGAGCCCAUGUUCCUGAAAUACGUCUUGCUGAAUGGUUGUUUUGGGUGCCUGUAGCAGGAUUUUAGCAGUGGGGAAAGAGUGCUGGACACACUGUUCUUCCAGAUGGUUCUAGAUGGUUCCAGGUGGUUCCAAUGUAUCCCAGCUGGAAUCAGCCAAUCAGUGAAAGCACCUGGUGCCUCAGUGAGAACAAAGGGCAGAGUGCUGCAGAGCUGGUGAAGGAAAACAAAAUGUGAGUGAGGGAUAGUCUUCUGGGUGUUGUGCUCAAGGAAGGGGGUUGGGAGAAGCUUCCCUUACAGCCCCUGGAGAGGUUGUAGAAGGGGAGGCAUUUCCCUGUAGCUUACAGAGUGGAAAAUGUCACAUUAGAUUUCCACACAAAGAACUCUAUGCUGGAGUCAGUUCCAGGAACUGUGGCUUUGGAGAGCCUGCACUGGAGCAGUUUUCCUGACAGAAAGUGCAACUAUGGAGAGCCUGUGCUGGAGCAGUUUUCCUGACAGCAACUGAGGCUAUGGAGAACACACCCUGGAGCAGAGUUUUACUGACAGAAUUUGUGGCACGGGAGAGCCAUCCUGGAGGAAGUUCUCUUGACAGGGACUGUGGCCAUGGAGAAGAUUUGUGCUGUGACAUGUUUUUCUGUGACAGACAACGUGGCUUUGGAGAGCCUAUGCUGUACUGUAUUUUUCCUCAGAAAUUUUGGCUGUGCUUGAGCAGAUUUUUCCUGACAGAAGCUGUAGGCAUGGAGAGGAUUUGUACUAGGAUGUGUUCUCUUCUAUCAGGAGCUGCAGUCUGUGGAGAGUUUAUGCUGGGGCAGUUCUCCUGACAGGAAAUGCAGCCCACACCGGAGUGGAAUUUUCCAGAAGGACUCCAGCCCAUGGAGAGGGCCCCCAUUGGAGCAGGUGAAAAAGGGUGCACCUUACUGUGAGAAUCAUGAUGAAACAUGACUCCAAUGUCCCAUACCUGCAGAAAAGUCAAGUUUGUUCUUCAAAUCCAGGAGUGUGCACAGCUGAAUUUUUCUUGGAAAAAAUCCUGGGAAGAAAUCUUACCAUUCCAUGCAGCCUGGAAGACUUGGAGGAUUGAGCUUGGUAGCAUUCUCAUUCCUGUACGCCUCAGGAAUGGGAUAUAAUUUCCUGAAGGAACCUGAAUGUAACUGAGAACUCCAGAGACUUCAGUUGUAUAAAACUGCAAUAAUUCUGGAUAGUUUGUUGGGGAAUAAAUAGUUACAUCAGGUUUUAAUUUUACUUUGUUCUCUGGAAUGUAAACUCCAAAUGGGACUACGAGCUGAGGCAAGUAAAAAAUCUAGUUGCGCAUCUAAUUAUAUUUGAAUUCUUUCAUUGAAUAUACAAGCAUAUUUUCAUUUUUAAAGUCUAGUUCAUGUAAGUAGAUAAAUUCAAUAUAUACGUCUUUGCCCUUUGUUUCCCUUUGUACUUGAUGUCCAUUUAAGGCAGUUGCAGAGUUCUCUUUCACAACACAACAGCCGUGCUUUGUGUAAGAUCUUUCUGUAGAGCUUCUGGUAACCAGAAGCCUGAUGUAAACAAAGUCCAAAUGGGGAAGAAGAGCUUUGUGAGGGAUUCUUUUUAGAUGCGUGGCUGGGUCCUGAGAGACAAAGGAGGCUGGAAAAGGCUAAGAUAUUUCAGGAAAACAAUUAAGGUUUCAUUUUGUAGAACAGGAGGUAUUCUGCUAUCUUGUAUCGUAUUCCAACUCAGAAAACAAUUACUUUAUAGUUACAUAUUUGAGGUAAUAUUUUUGAAACUUGUUUUAGACCACACCUUUAGCUUCUAUGAGCUUUGAAGUGAUGCAGCCUAACAUCCCUUUAUUGUAGUUAAUUUAGUAUAUUCUUUGCUGUAGGUCUAGUGUGAUUUGCAUGCUAGCUAAAUAUUGGUAAAACUUGAAAAAAUAAAAACAACAUAUGUUUGCAUACAAGUAUAUAUAAUACAAGUAUAUCUGAAGGAUUGUUCUCUUAUUACACAGAAGAAAAAAAUGUAAUACUCUAUCUGUCUUGGGUAAGAACAUAAAAAUACUGAGAAUAAUCAGUACCAAAUUUAUUUCUGACUGUGGGUAAAAGAAGGCUUAUAAUACUUUAGAUAUUACUAAGCAGGAAGAGUAGUUAUAAGUAAAAGUUAUAUCUGAAAUCAUAUAUGUGAAGAACAAAGAGCUUAUUGUAUGUAAAUGUUAAUGUGGGCUGAUUUAUGAAGGUCAGAGUGCAUCGUAUGUGAGAGAAUAAGGUAGAGGAAGAGGUUCAGGAUCUUUGGUAUAUAACAUUUUCUUCUGGUGUUAUCAGAGGCUGUGUCAAAGUUAAUACUAGAUAUGAUUAUGGAUGCUCUCAAACAGAAAUUUAGUGUGAACAACUAUAGCAGAUUGCGUGGUUUGAGAAAACAGGAAUGGUUUUCUAACCCAAAGGUCUGGACGUGUCACGUACCUCCAUAUUAGAGAUAGAACAAGAUAGAAGUCUGACAGAAAAACUUCAGUACUUGCAGCCCUCCAAAAAGCAUAAAGUUAUCAGCAUGUAUAUUCAUUAAAUCCAACUCUGUGCAGGUCAUUUUGGUUUUGAACUUAUUUAUCCAAGAUAUAUUCCCAGUUACCUACAGUAAUCCAUUUUCUCUCUGAAGUUGAAUCAUUAUGUAAGCAAUAACUUGGGAUACAUGCAUUUUUACACGUAGUUGGGCUUAUCUACAUGAUAACCUUUUAACUUACAUGAAAAAUGAUCAGAUGAAAUCUGCUGUAAAUGUAACUCUAGUACUGAGCUGGACUCUGAUAAAGGAAAAAAAAAAGUCAGUAAAUAUUGAGGCUGAUCCAGUAUUUCCUCAAUUAUUUGUAACAGAUUUUUCUUCCCAUAAUUAGGUGGUGAAAAAUAGAAAACACACAGGAAGGUAUUUCAUCUGCAAAUAAAUUAUGAGCUAGGAGGUAAUAUCUGAUUUAUUCUCAUUAGAUGCCUUUAAUAAAAUAUGUUUAAUUUCUUGCUUGCUAUAACAAUUGUUUUAUUAUGUUAAUUAAGUUCUGUAACAAUGAAACAUUUAUAAGAACAAAGAGCAUGAACAAUUUUGUGAAGUUACUUUGCUUAAUACUUAAAAAUAUACAGCCUGGAUAGCUACUGUAUUAAAUUACAUCAAUUUGUGAUAAAUAGAACAUAUAUUAUGUUGUAAUAUGAAUUCAAAUUGUUUAAUCAAUCCAGACAAAUAUUAAAGACCAGACCCUGGAACACUGACUUCAAAAGGCACUAGGAUAUAACUGAAAAAAACUUACUUUAAUAAAUCUGUAUCAACGAAAAACAUGUAAAAAAGAAUGUAAUAUGAA